ACUUACGGUUAGUUUUGCAGGUUUGCAUUUCAGCGUAUAUAUGUAUAUAUGGCUGUGCAAAUCCAUGCAAAACUGAUUGUGAUA
rfam:Pteropus alecto contig96929, whole genome shotgun sequence.